rnacentral:tRNA from 1 species
CCUGUGGCUCAGAUGGUAAAGAAUCUGCCUGCAAUGCAGGAGACCUGGGUUCGAUCCCUGCAUCAGGA